rnacentral:rRNA from 1 species
UACGUAGGGUGCGAGCGUUAAUCGGAAUUACUGGGCGUAAAGCGUGCGCAGGCGGUUAUGCAAGACAGAGGUGAAAGCCCCGGGCUCAACCUGGGAACUGCCUUUGUGACUGCAUGACUAGAGUACGGCAGAGGGGGAUGGAAUUCCACGUGUAGCAGUGAAAUGCGUAGAUAUGCGGAGGAACACCGAUGGCGAAGGCAAACCCCUGGGCCUGAACUGACGCUCAUGCACGAAAGCGUGGGGAGCAAACAGG